rnacentral:rRNA from 1 species
UACGUAGGGUGCAAGCGUUGUCCGGAAUUAUUGGGCGUAAAGGGCUCGUAGGCGGUCUGUCGCGUCUGCUGUGAAAACUCAGGGCUUAACCCUGAGCUUGCAGUGGGUACGGGCAGACUAGAGUGCGGUAGGGGAGACUGGAAUUCCUGGUGUAGCGGUGAAAUGCGCAGAUAUCAGGAGGAACACCGAUGGCGAAGGCAGGUCUCUGGGCAUUAACUGACGCUGAGGAGCGAAAGCAUGGGGGAGCGAACAGG